UGGAGUUGAGGUCACACGCUGGUCGAUGAACUCACAAGUGUAGGUAGUGUGCUAAAAGANUGGCAAGGUUUUCGCUAACACCCCACUCUGGUCCAGUGAGUGGGGUUUGAUAGUAACCUUUGCUACAAAA
rnacentral:snoRNA from 7 species